UACGUAGGGCGCAAGCGUUGUCCGGAAUUAUUGGGCGUAAAGAGCUCGUAGGUGGCUUGUCACGUCGGGUGUGAAAGCUUGGGGCUUAACUCCAGGUCUGCAUUCGAUACGGGCUGGCUAGAGGUAGGUAGGGGAGAACGGAAUUCCUGGUGUAGCGGUGAAAUGCGCAGAUAUCAGGAGGAACACCGGUGGCGAAGGCGGUUCUCUGGGCCUUACCUGACGCUGAGGAGCGAAAGCGUGGGGAGUGAACAGG
rnacentral:rRNA from 1 species